rnacentral:rRNA from 8 species
AGGUGCCCGUACCGCAAACCGACACAGGUAGUCAAGAUGAGAAUUCUAAGGUGAGCGAGCGAACUCUCGUUAAGGAACUCGGCAAAAUGACCCCGUAACUUCGGGAGAAGGGGUGCUCUUUAGGGUUAACGCCCAGAAGAGCCGCAGUGAAUAGGCCCAAGCGACUGUUUAUCAAAAACACAGGUCUCUGCUAAACCGUAAGGUGAUGUAUAGGGGCUGACGCCUGCCCGGUGCUGGAAGGUUAAGAGGAGUGGUUAGCUUCUGCGAAGCUACGAAUCGAAGCCCCAGUAAACGGCGGCCGUAACUAUAACGGUCCUAAGGUAGCGAAAUUCCUUGUCGGGUAAGUUCCGACCCGCACGAAAGGCGUAACGAUUUGGGCACUGUCUCAACGAGAGACUCGGUGAAAUCAUAGUACCUGUGAAGAUGCAGGUUACCCGCGACAGGACGGAAAGACCCCGUGGAGCUUUACUGUAGCCUGAUAUUGAAAUUCGGCACAGCUUGUACAGGAUAGGUAGGAGCCUUUGAAACGUGAGCGCUAGCUUACGUGGAGGCGCUGGUGGGAUACUACCCUAGCUGUGUUGGCUUUCUAACCCGCACCACUUAUCGUGGUGGGAGACAGUGUCAGGCGGGCAGUUUGACUGGGGCGGUCGCCUCCUAAAAGGUAACGGAGGCGCUCAAAGGUUCCCUCAGAAUGGUUGGAAAUCAUUCAUAGAGUGUAAAGGCAUAAGGGAGCUUGACUGCGAGACCUACAAGUCGAGCAGGGUCGAAAGACGGACUUAGUGAUCCGGUGGUUCCGCAUGGAAGGGCCAUCGCUCAACGGAUAAAAGCUACCCCGGGGAUAACAGGCUUAUCUCCCCCAAGAGUUCACAUCGACGGGGAGGUUUGGCACCUCGAUGUCGGCUCAUCGCAUCCUGGGGCUGUAGUCGGUCCCAAGGGUUGGGCUGUUCGCCCAUUAAAGCGGUACGCGAGCUGGGUUCAGAACGUCGUGAGACAGUUCGGUCCCUAUCCGUCGUGGGCGUAGGAAAUUUGAGAGGAGCUGUCCUUAGUACGAGAGGACCGGGAUGGACAUACCUCUGGUGUACCAGUUGUCGUGCCAACGGCAUAGCUGGGUAGCUAUGUGUGGACGGGAUAAGUGCUGAAAGCAUCUAAGCAUGAAGCCCCCCUCAAGAUGAGAUUUCCCAACUUCGGUUAUAAGAUCCCUCAAAGAUGAUGAGGUUAAUAGGUUCGAGGUGGAAGCAUGGUGACAUGUGGAGCUGACGAAUACUAAUCGAUCGAAGACUUAAUCAA